rnacentral:rRNA from 1 species
UACGGAGGGUGCGAGCGUUGUUCGGAAUCACUGGGCGUAAAGGGCGUGUAGGCGGUCUGCUAAGUCUGAUGUGAAAGCCCGGGGCUCACCCCCGGAAGGGCAUUGGAAACUGGCGGACUCGAGUCCCGGAGAGGAGGGUGGAAUUCCUGGUGUAGCGGUGAAAUGCGUAGAUAUCAGGAGGAACACGGGUGGCGAAGGCGGCCCUCUGGACGGUGACUGACGCUGAGGCACGAAAGCGUGGGGAGCAAACAGG